AUUGAACGCUGGCGGCAUGCCUUACACAUGCAAGUCGAACGGUAACAGGUCUUCGGAUGCUGACGAGUGGCGAACGGGUGAGUAAUACAUCGGAACGUGCCUAGUAGUGGGGGAUAACUACUCGAAAGAGUGGCUAAUACCGCAUGAGAUCUACGGAUGAAAGCAGGGGAUCGCAAGACCUUGUGCUACUAGAGCGGCCGAUGGCCGAUUAGGUAGUUGGUGGGAUAAAAGCUUACCAAGCCGACGAGCUGUAGCUGGUCUGAGAGGACGAUCAGCCAAACUGGGACUGAAAAACGGCCCAGACUCCUACGGGAGGCAGCAGUGGGGAAUUUUAGACACUGGGCGCAAGCCUGAUCCAGCAAGGCCGCGUGAAGGAUGAAGGCCUUCGGGUUGUAAACUGCUUUUGUACGGAACGAAAAGGCCUGGGUUAAUACCCUGGGGUCAUGACGGUACCGUAAGAAUAAGCACCGGCUAACUACGUGCCAGCCGCCGCCGUAAGAC
rnacentral:rRNA from 1 species